rnacentral:rRNA from 1 species
GAAACCCAGUGUGACUCGUCACACUAUCAUUAACUGAAUCCAUAGGUUAAUGAGGCGAACCGGGGGAACUGAAACAUCUAAGUACCCCGAGGAAAAGAAAUCAACCGAGAUUCCCCCAGUAGCGGCGAGCGAACGGGGAGGAGCCCAGAGCCUGAAUCAGCAUGUGUGUUAGUGGAAGCGUCUGGAAAGGCGCGCGAUACAGGGUGACAGCCCCGUACACAAAAGCGCAUGUGCUGUGAGCUCGAUGAGUAGGGCGGGACACGUGGUAUCCUGUCUGAAUAUGGGGGGACCAUCCUCCAAGGCUAAAUACUCCUGACUGACCGAUAGUGAACCAGUACCGUGAGGGAAAGGCGAAAAGAACCCCGGCGAGGGGAGUGAAAAAGAACCUGAAACCGUGUACGUACAAGCAGUGGGAGCCCCACCACCAAAGCAUUUGCUGUACCGCGUUGACGGAGCGAAGCGACGUCAAACCGAUAAAACAGCAGUGUAAAGUGAGCCGCAGGGCGCUUUGCGCGACAGCGCAAAGGCAGGCGGUUUCGCGUAGCGAAAGCGAAUGCUUUGGGGUGGGGUGACUGCGUACCUUUUGUAUAAUGGGUCAGCGACUUAUAUUCUGUAGCAAGGUUAACCGAAUAGGGGAGCCGGAGGGAAACCGAGUCUUAAUUGGGCGUUAAGUUGCAGGGUAUAGACCCGAAACCCGGUGAUCUAGCCAUGGGCAGGUUGAAGGUUGGGUAACACUAACUGGAGGACCGAACCGACUAAUGUUGAAAAAUUAGCGGAUGACCUGUGGCUGGGGGUGAAAGGCCAAUCAAACCGGGAGAUAGCUGGUUCUCCCCGAAAGCUAUUUAGGUAGCGCCUCGUGAAUUCAUCUCCGGGGGUAGAGCACUGUUUCGGCUAGGGGGCCAUCCCGGCUUACCAACCCGAUGCAAACUGCGAAUACCGGAGAAUGUUAUCACGGGAGACACACGGCGGGUGCUAACGUCCGUCGUGAAGAGGGAAACAACCCAGACCGCCAGCUAAGGUCCCAAAGUCAUGGUUAAGUGGGAAACGAUGUGGGAAGGCCCAGACAGCCAGGAUGUUGGCUUAGAAGCAGCCAUCAUUUAAAGAAAGCGUAAUAGCUCACUGGUCGAGUCGGCCUGCGCGGAAGAUGUAACGGGGCUAAACCAUGCACCGAAGCUGCGGCAGCGACACUGUGUGUUGUUGGGUAGGGGAGCGUUCUGUAAGCCUGCGAAGGUGGCCUGUGAGGGUUGCUGGAGGUAUCAGAAGUGCGAAUGCUGACAUAAGUAACGAUAAAGCGGGUGAAAAGCCCGCUCGCCGGAAGACCAAGGGUUCCUGUCCAACGUUAAUCGGGGCAGGGUGAGUCGACCCCUAAGGCGAGGCCGAAAGGCGUAGUCGAUGGGAAACGGGUUAAUAUUCCCGUACUUGGUGUUACUGCGAAGGGGGGACGGAGAAGGCUAUGUUGGCCGGGCGACGGUUGUCCCGGUUUAAGCGUGUAGGCUGGUUUUCCAGGCAAAUCCGGAAAAUCAAGGCUGAGGCGUGAUGACGAGGCACUACGGUGCUGAAGCAACAAAUGCCCUGCUUCCAGGAAAAGCCUCUAAGCAUCAGGUAACAUCAAAUCGUACCCCAAACCGACACAGGUGGUCAGGUAGAGAAUACCAAGGCGCUUGAGAGAACUCGGGUGAAGGAACUAGGCAAAAUGGUGCCGUAACUUCGGGAGAAGGCACGCUGACACGUAGGUGAAGUGAUUUACUCAUGGAGCUGAAGUCAGUCGAAGAUACCAGCUGGCUGCAACUGUUUAUUAAAAACACAGCACUGUGCAAACACGAAAGUGGACGUAUACGGUGUGACGCCUGCCCGGUGCCGGAAGGUUAAUUGAUGGGGUCAGCGCAAGCGAAGCUCCUGAUCGAAGCCCCGGUAAACGGCGGCCGUAACUAUAACGGUCCUAAGGUAGCGAAAUUCCUUGUCGGGUAAGUUCCGACCUGCACGAAUGGCGUAAUGAUGGCCAGGCUGUCUCCACCCGAGACUCAGUGAAAUUGAACUCGCUGUGAAGAUGCAGUGUACCCGCGGCAAGACGGAAAGACCCCGUGAACCUUUACUAUAGCUUGACACUGAACAUUGAGCCUUGAUGUGUAGGAUAGGUGGGAGGCUUUGAAGUGUGGACGCCAGUCUGCAUGGAGCCGACCUUGAAAUACCACCCUUUAAUGUUUGAUGUUCUAACGUGGACCCGUUACCCGGGUUGCGGACAGUGUCUGGUGGGUAGUUUGACUGGGGCGGUCUCCUCCUAAAGAGUAACGGAGGAGCACGAAGGUUGGCUAAUCCUGGUCGGACAUCAGGAGGUUAGUGCAAUGGCAUAAGCCAGCUUGACUGCGAGCGUGACGGCGCGAGCAGGUGCGAAAGCAGGUCAUAGUGAUCCGGUGGUUCUGAAUGGAAGGGCCAUCGCUCAACGGAUAAAAGGUACUCCGGGGAUAACAGGCUGAUACCGCCCAAGAGUUCAUAUCGACGGCGGUGUUUGGCACCUCGAUGUCGGCUCAUCACAUCCUGGGGCUGAAGUAGGUCCCAAGGGUAUGGCUGUUCGCCAUUUAAAGUGGUACGCGAGCUGGGUUUAGAACGUCGUGAGACAGUUCGGUCCCUAUCUGCCGUGGGCGCUGGAGAACUGAGGGGGGCUGCUCCUAGUACGAGAGGACCGGAGUGGACGCAUCACUGGUGUUCGGGUUGUCAUGCCAAUGGCACUGCCCGGUAGCUAAAUGCGGAAGAGAUAAGUGCUGAAAGCAUCUAAGCACGAAACUUGCCCCGAG